rnacentral:lncRNA from 1 species
GGGUAUAUGGGUAGUUAUUUCCAUUUUAGUACCAUUUACAUGAGAAUCUUUUAUUCCCGCCCACUUUCUUUGGGAAUAAAAUCAUGGGUAAGUGGAAGUUAUUUUUUUCCUAUGAAUUCUUUAUUUCCGGGAGUUAUUUUUUUAACUUUGUAACAAACAUAGGAAUCUAUAAUUCCAACCUCCAUGUUCCUGGGAAUAAUUUUUUAAACCAGGAAACAAACACCCC